GAUGAACGCUGGCGGCGUGCCUAAUACAUGCAAGUCGAGCGAACGGACGAGAAGCUUGCUUCUCUGAUGUUAGCGGCGGACGGGUGAGUAACACGUGGAUAACCUACCUAUAAGACUGGGAUAACUUCGGGAAACCGUAGCUAAUACCGGAUAAUAUUUUGAACCGCAUGGUUCAAAAGUGAAAGACGGUCUUGCUGUCACUUAUAGAUGGAUCCGCGCUGCAUUAGCUAGUUGGUAAGGUAACGGCUUACCAAGGCAACGAUGCAUAGCCGACCUGAGAGGGGGAGCGGCCACGGUGGACCGACGACCGGCCCCAGCCCCGGGGGGGGGCCGCAGGUGGGAAUUUUCCCGAAAGGGCCGAAGCUCGGAGAGCGCACCGCCGCGGGAGGAAGGAAUGUCUUGGGUGCGAAAAACUCUUUUAUGGGGGAAAAACAUAUGUAAAAGUAAGUGUCCAUCUCUGCGCGGUCCAAAAUAAAAGCCCCGGGCCACCCCCCG
rnacentral:rRNA from 1 species